rnacentral:rRNA from 1 species
UACGUAGGGUGCAAGCGUUGUCCGGAAUUAUUGGGCGUAAAGAGCUCGUAGGCGGUUUGUCGCGUCUGCUGUGAAAACUCAGGGCUUAACCCUGAGCCUGCAGUGGGUACGGGCAGACUAGAGUGUGGUAGGGGGAGAUCGGAAUUCCUGGUGUAGCGGUGGAAUGCGCAGAUAUCAGGAGGAACACCGGUGGCGAAGGCGGAUCUCUGGGCCAUAACUGACGCUGGAGGAGCGAAAAGCAUGGGGAGCGAACAGGAAU